UUAAGUUAUUAAGGGCGCACGGUGGAUGCCUUGGCACUAGAAGCCGAUGAAGGACGUUACUAACGACGAUAUGCUUUGGGGAGCUGUAAGUAAGCUUUGAUCCAGAGAUUUCCGAAUGGGGAAACCCAACAUGAGUUAUGUCAUGUUAUCGAUAUGUGAAUACAUAGCAUAUCAGAAGGCACACCCGGAGAACUGAAACAUCUUAGUACCCGGAGGAAGAGAAAGAAAAAUCGAUUCCCUUAGUAGCGGCGAGCGAAACGGGAAGAGCCCAAACCAACAAGCUUGCUUGUUGGGGUUGUAGGACACUCUAUACGGAGUUACAAAGGACGACAUUAGACGAAUCAUCUGGAAAGAUGAAUCAAAGAAGGUAAUAAUCCUGUAGUCGAAAAUGUUGUCUCUCUUGAGUGGAUCCUGAGUACGACGGAGCACGUGAAAUUCCGUCGGAAUCUGGGAGGACCAUCUCCUAAGGCUAAAUACUCUCUAGUGACCGAUAGUGAACCAGUACCGUGAGGGAAAGGUGAAAAGCACCCCGGAAGGGGAGUGAAAUAGAACCUGAAACCGUGUGCUUACAAGUAGUCAGAGCCCGUUAAUGGGUGAUGGCGUGCCUUUUGUAGAAUGAACCGGCGAGUUACGAUUUGAUGCAAGGUUAAGCAGUAAAUGUGGAGCCGUAGCGAAAGCGAGUCUGAAUAGGGCGUUUAGUAUUUGGUCGUAGACCCGAAACCAGGUGAUCUACCCUUGGUCAGGUUGAAGUUCAGGUAACACUGAAUGGAGGACCGAACCGACUUACGUUGAAAAGUGAGCGGAUGAACUGAGGGUAGCGGAGAAAUUCCAAUCGAACCUGGAGAUAGCUGGUUCUCUCCGAAAUAGCUUUAGGGCUAGCCUCAAGUGAUGAUUAUUGGAGGUAGAGCACUGUUUGGACGAGGGGCCCCUCUCGGGUUACCGAAUUCAGACAAACUCCGAAUGCCAAUUAAUUUAACUUGGGAGUCAGAACAUGGGUGAUAAGGUCCGUGUUCGAAAGGGAAACAGCCCAGACCACCAGCUAAGGUCCCAAAAUAUAUGUUAAGUGGAAAAGGAUGUGGCGUUGCCCAGACAACUAGGAUGUUGGCUUAGAAGCAGCCAUCAUUUAAAGAGUGCGUAAUAGCUCACUAGUCGAGUGACACUGCGCCGAAAAUGUACCGGGGCUAAACAUAUUACCGAAGCUGUGGAUUGUCCUUUGGACAAUGGUAGGAGAGCGUUCUAAGGGCGUUGAAGCAUGAUCGUAAGGACAUGUGGAGCGCUUAGAAGUGAGAAUGCCGGUGUGAGUAGCGAAAGACGGGUGAGAAUCCCGUCCACCGAUUGACUAAGGUUUCCAGAGGAAGGCUCGUCCGCUCUGGGUUAGUCGGGUCCUAAGCUGAGGCCGACAGGCGUAGGCGAUGGAUAACAGGUUGAUAUUCCUGUACCACCUAUAAUCGUUUUAAUCGAUGGGGGGACGCAGUAGGAUAGGCGAAGCGUGCGAUUGGAUUGCACGUCUAAGCAGUAAGGCUGAGUAUUAGGCAAAUCCGGUACUCGUUAAGGCUAAGCUGUGAUGGGGAGAAGACAUUGUGUCUUCGAGUCGUUGAUUUCACACUGCCGAGAAAAGCCUCUAGAUAGAAAAUAGGUGCCCGUACCGCAAACCGACACAGGUAGUCAAGAUGAGAAUUCUAAGGUGAGCGAGCGAACUCUCGUUAAGGAACUCGGCAAAAUGACCCCGUAACUUCGGGAGAAGGGGUGCUCUUUAGGGUUAACGCCCAGAAGAGCCGCAGUGAAUAGGCCCAAGCGACUGUUUAUCAAAAACACAGGUCUCUGCUAAACCGUAAGGUGAUGUAUAGGGGCUGACGCCUGCCCGGUGCUGGAAGGUUAAGAGGAGUGGUUAGCUUCUGCGAAGCUACGAAUCGAAGCCCCAGUAAACGGCGGCCGUAACUAUAACGGUCCUAAGGUAGCGAAAUUCCUUGUCGGGUAAGUUCCGACCCGCACGAAAGGCGUAACGAUUUGGGCACUGUCUCAACGAGAGACUCGGUGAAAUCAUAGUACCUGUGAAGAUGCAGGUUACCCGCGACAGGACGGAAAGACCCCGUGGAGCUUUACUGUAGCCUGAUAUUGAAAUUCGGCACAGCUUGUACAGGAUAGGUAGGAGCCUUUGAAACGUGAGCGCUAGCUUACGUGGAGGCGCUGGUGGGAUACUACCCUAGCUGUGUUGGCUUUCUAACCCGCACCACUCAUCGUGGUGGGAGACAGUGUCAGGCGGGCAGUUUGACUGGGGCGGUCGCCUCCUAAAAGGUAACGGAGGCGCUCAAAGGUUCCCUCAGAAUGGUUGGAAAUCAUUCAUAGAGUGUAAAGGCAUAAGGGAGCUUGACUGCGAGACCUACAAGUCGAGCAGGGUCGAAAGACGGACUUAGUGAUCCGGUGGUUCCGCAUGGAAGGGCCAUCGCUCAACGGAUAAAAGCUACCCCGGGGAUAACAGGCUUAUCUCCCCCAAGAGUUCACAUCGACGGGGAGGUUUGGCACCUCGAUGUCGGCUCAUCGCAUCCUGGGGCUGUAGUCGGUCCCAAGGGUUGGGCUGUUCGCCCAUUAAAGCGGUACGCGAGCUGGGUUCAGAACGUCGUGAGACAGUUCGGUCCCUAUCCGUCGUGGGCGUAGGAAAUUUGAGAGGAGCUGUCCUUAGUACGAGAGGACCGGGAUGGACAUACCUCUGGUGUACCAGUUGUCGUGCCAACGGCAUAGCUGGGUAGCUAUGUGUGGACGGGAUAAGUGCUGAAAGCAUCUAAGCAUGAAGCCCCCCUCAAGAUGAGAUUUCCCAACUUCGGUUAUAAGAUCCCUCAAAGAUGAUGAGGUUAAUAGGUUCGAGGUGAAAGCAUGGUGACAUGUGGAGCUGACGAAUACUAAUCGAUCGAAGACUUAAUCAA
rnacentral:rRNA from 1 species